rnacentral:rRNA from 1 species
UACGUAGGGGGCAAGCGUUGUUCGGAAUUACUGGGCGUAAAGGGCGCGUAGGCGGCACAGCAAGUCGGGAGUGAAAGCCCGGGGCUCAACUCCGGAAUUGCCUUUAAGACUGCAUCGCUUGAAUCAUGGAGAGGUGAGUGGAAUUCCGAGUGUAGAGGUGAAAUUCGUAGAUAUUCGGAAGAACACCAGUGGCGAAGGCGACUCACUGGACAUGUAUUGACGCUGAGGUACGAAAGCGUGGGGAGCAAACAGG